UGAAAGUUUAGAUGCCAAUCACCAUAUAAGUUCAAAGAUGAAAAGCCUGGAAGGAGGAGAAAUGACUAGAAUUGAUUCGGUUGACCAUUUUAUGUGUGGAUUAAUUGUCGGAGUAGAGGACCUUGUGCAUUUCAGGGCUGUAGUUCAGGAAGGCCCGUUGGUGUUCUUUCUCCAGGAUGCAGAGACCCAGAACCUGAUCGGAUGGGUGUUGAUUUGCAGGGCAUUGUGGGGUGGCAGGUGGAAAGGAAAUAGUAACAGCUGCUGGAGGCCUUAACUGAGAGGACAGUAGUGUCACUCUUUACAGGGCCAAUUAGCAGCGAUAAUUCAUUAAAGUCAUGGAAGCCCCAUUACCUUUUGAAGAAUCCCAUUCCAGACUGCUGCUGUCACAGAGGGGGCUGUCAACCUCAGCCUGGCUCUCAGCAUCAGGUCAGCCAGCCAGUCAGCCCAGCCAGACAGCCCAGCCUGGAGGGAGAUUCAAAAUAGCAAAUGGCAGCAUCAGAGAGCAAAAGGACAGUCCUACGUGGAAGCAGGGGCCCAGUGGAGGCCAAGCAGUGGACCCAAUCCAAAUAGCACAGUUGACCAGGUCACAGGAGAGGCCGUGGAGAGGACUCCCAUGGGGCUGUGCCACAGGAAGCAACCUUCGGGGGCCUCCCAGACAAUAGAGCCCAGGGGCAGGUCAACCCCCCUGAUGCCCAGGGCAACACACUAGGGGAUCGGAAUGAGCACCAUCAAGACAACCCCAGAGUCAUAAGACAACUGCAGCUUCCCUUCUAAUUAGAUUUCCCAUUGGCAAGAGGAGGAGGAGCAGCGCUAAUCAACUCCAGUACAUCUCCACUACACAGCCUUGGUCAGCCCUGCUCUCUACUCCUCACACACCGGACAUGUUUGGGUUGGAAAUCAUCACGCAGGCUGGAUUCUGGAGGGGAGCGGCUAAGCAGAGCGAGGGCGAGUGUGGUGGGUCCAAUGCUCUUCUCUCUCAGCUGUUAUUCAUAGGAAGCAGGGGCGGACCGGGACCAGAAAUCGUCCCUGGCAUUUCUAACACACCGGCACAUUUUUUCUCUUGAGGCCCCCAUUAUUAGACAGAUAAUGGUCAAAACAACAAGUUAGACCCACUGGGCUAAAAAUGAACAAGCCCAUCUGGCAUUUGUGCAAAAUGAUCAUUAUCUGUCUGAUAAACUGGGCCUCGGGAAACAUUUUGCCUGUGUGGGGGCCUCGAGGGAAAAGAUCGGCCAGUGUGUUAGAAAUGCCAGAGACGAUUUCUGGUCCCAGUCUGCC
rnacentral:lncRNA from 1 species